GCAUAUUUGAGCCUGAAUCAGAGGAAGAAUCUGAAAUAGAGGAGUAACCAGUCGCCCAUAGAUUGGAAAUGACUACUUCAGAGUGGUUAUUAAAAGAAUGACCCAGGUUCCUGAGGAGCUGACCUGAAUGACCGUCAUGGCCUCAAUCCGUUGUGCCUCUAUAUUCUUUGCAAAAUGCAAUGAAUAUUUACAGAGCUGACCAUGGCCGUUUGAGAAUCAGAGGAAUGGAAAGGCAAUGAAGUGACUUGGCCUACAGGUCUUUUGUGAGCAGGAGCUGGGGUUUCCUUAGAAGAAGCGUCCGUGUCAUGAUCCCCUUGUUUGUGGUGCUACGCAUAUGGAGGGAGCUUCCGGAUACUUCAGGGUAGUACGUUG